AGCAGUCGCCGCGGUAAUACGAAGGGUGCAAGCGUUACUCGGAAUUACUGGGCGUAAAGCGCACGCAGGCGGUCUGUCAAGUCAGAUGUGAAAUCCCCGGUCUUAACCUGGGAACUGCAUUUGAAACUGGCAGGCUAGAGUCUUGUAGAGGGGGGUAGAAUUCCAGGUGUAGCGGUGAAAUGCGUAGAGAUCUGGAGGAAUACCGGUGGCGAAGGCGGCCCCCUGGACAAAGACUGACGCUCAGGUGCGAAAGCGUGGGGAGCAAACAGGAUUAGAUACCCCGGUAGUCCCUGUCUCUUAUAC
rnacentral:rRNA from 1 species